ACGGGUGAGUAACACGUAUCCAACCUGCCGUCUACUCUUGGACAGCCUUCUGAAAGGAAGAUUAAUACAAGAUGGCAUCAUGAGUCCGCAUGUUCACAUGAUUAAAGGUAUUCCGGUAGACGAUGGGGAUGCGUUCCAUUAGAUAGUAGGCGGGGUAACGGCCACCUAGUCUACGAUGGAUAGGGGUUCUGAGAGGAAGGUCCCCCACAUUGGAACUGAGACACGGUCCAA
rnacentral:rRNA from 1 species